rnacentral:lncRNA from 1 species
UCUCAGGAAAGCUGCAAAUUGUUGUUUUAUUUUUAACCUACCCUAUAUGUAUACAAAAAUGAGAAAAAAGGUGAUUUUUAUUUUUGUUUCAUUAUACCGAAGGUGAAUUUGUUGACAAUGAAGGCUUUUCUGAAAAUUACAGCUAUUUAAUUCAAGAUACUACUCAGGGUUGUAGUCAAUAUUCAUGAUAGAAGACGAUAUACAACCGGGUCAUCUAAUACAAAACUAAUGACAAUCUUUGCUCUAACUCUGGCAAAGCAUAUAUUUAUUUACUUGCACGAAUAACUCAUGUACCUCAACAAAUCUCGCAUCCAAGAUAUUAAUAACUUCAAUUAAGAAAAAACAAAUGGUGGAUACUUACUUUAAUUAAAAGUUAUACUUCCAAAUAAAUAACCUAAUGGUGUAAGCCAUAAAUAUUAAUCAGCAAUAAUACUUUACCUUAUUAGAUAAUAAAUUUCCGGCUUUGUCGAUAGCUAUAACAGGUUUAAUAAUUCCAUAUUUUAAUGCUGCAUUUCUAUCUGCAUCAGUCGCUGACACUUGUAUUGCCUCUGUUCCGACAAUCAUUUGUUCUGUUAAAUAUUUCGUAUAGGAGUUCUAAAAUAUUUAUUUUAUAUUAUAAAUUUAAGAAAAUAAUUAUUUUUUACCUGGUCAAAUAUUGGUACUUUGUCGUUUACAUCAAUUAUAGAUAUCGAAACAUUUAUUUUGACAAUUUGGGAAUAAGGUAGCUCAUAAUUACUUGCUGAUAUCUGUGAAAUAAAUGAAAAUGUAAAUAUUUAUAUGAUAAUUUUAUUUGAUUAUAUUUAAAUUAGCCUAUGUUAAACGAUAGAUUACAUACACAACACAAAUAGAGUCUUUUAUUAUUAUUAUUUAAGCUGGGAGAUGGGCGAAUAGUGUGAAGGACUGGAAAAAAACAUCAAAUACAUAUGUUACAUAAAAGACAAGUUAAUUUAGAUAUACCUAGAUCAACAGCUAUGUUUAUAUUAUUAUUUUAAAAUAUAGUUUUCUAAAUUUUUUAUUCACAUAAACUAAAUCAAUUGAGUUUUGUAGUAUGGAGUUUUUAUCAAAAUGGGUUAAAAAAUGACUUUAGUAUAAUGGAAAUUCAUCUAUUAAGUAAUAUAGUCGAACAAACUGGUUUUAAAAAAGUUAUGGAGAACCUCAUGAAGGAUUGCAAAUUAAUAUAUUUAUCGUUUAUUAUUGAUCUCGUUUUGUUUAUUGGAUUCCUUCUAAAUAA